GACCUGUGAGCAAAGCACAGGAACAACAGCUACAGGAAGGAGCUGUGACACCACAUCCCAUUCCAUGUGCCAACACAGAGCUGGAUAACGAGGUCCAGCAGCUACACCACGGGGCCCUCUGCAUCAGAAGAAUUAAUACAAAGAAAUCUUCAAGAGAUGGUCACAGAAUCACAGAUUGGAGGAGGUUGGAAAGCACCUCUGGAGAUCAUCUUUUCCAACCCACCCGUGGCUCAAGCAGGGCCAGCUCGAGCUCAGCUACCCAGGACCACAUCCAGAGAGCUUUAGAGGAUCUCCAUGGAGAGAGAGAGACUGCACGCCCUCCCUGGGCACCCUGUGCUAUCACUGCCACAGUAAAAAUCGUUUCCUGAUGUUCAGAGGGAACCUCCUGUGUUUCAGUUGAUGCCCAUGGCCCCUGCUCCUGGAACUUGGCACCACUGAAAAGAGUCUGGUGGUUUGCACCCUGUCUUUGGGGGCUCACACACACUGCUCAGAUCCGCCUGAGCCUUCUGCAGCUCAACAGGCACAGCUCCCUUGGCCUUUCUUCAGAGCACACAGGCUCCCAUCCCUUCAUCUCUGUGACCUCCCUCCAGUAUGUCUACAUCUUCCUCAUGCUGGAAAUUGCAGAACUGGAAACAUUUGAGCAGUAUUUUCUCAUGCAGAAAUAACAAUAGUAUCUCCUAUUGGCUUAGAUUACAUUGGCAAGAAAAAGCACUUGGUGGGCUUUGGCUCUCACUGCCUAGGUAGCUUCACCAUAACUAAAAUGCUCAGAAACUGAUGAAUCAUUCUUUAUCUGAAAUAAAACCAUCAAGUUUAAUCGGUGCACCUUCCACUUUGAGCCAAAAGAAUGGUAAAUAAAGGAGCAUGCAACUUCUAAAAUGCUUGAGGAAACACAUCUUUCCCUCAUAAAAGCAUACUCUAAUAAUGAAUAUUAUUAGCUUUGUGUAAGCGUCUCCUGAGGCACUACAGCAUCUGAAGAAACCAUCCUAAGAGACAAAGAUGCUUCACUUUGACAGUGUGUUUACCAGCCCAGCCUGAAGGAAGUUCCAGUCACAGAACAGAAAGGUUGGUUUUACAAAACAGUGAUACAUGCAUAACAAAAGCACAACAAAAGAGCUACCAGCCAGAGUUUAAGGGCUAUGGGUAGCAAUUAAUUGCUGAAACACUCUAAUGCCCACCCUCAGGAGUUAUCAGUCAUGGCCUUUGGCUCACCAACACAGUUGCUUUAUCAGGAAAGCUAAAAGGAGCAGCACCUCCCAUUCAGUCACACCAACAGCCAAAAAUAAGUCUCAAUUUGGCCCUAUCUUGCUCACACAUAAAUAGUCCCAUCAAUGUGAUAAAACCCAGGGUUAAAGGCAUAAUUUUAUUUUUUGCUUCUUUACAGUAAGACUUCCAUGACCCAAACAAGUCAGUGCUGUACUCUCCAACACAUCAAACUAAUCUGGCCCUACCAUUAACAGCUUCAUGCCAAAACAAAUGAUCAGAACACAGGACAGUGACAGGGGCAGAAUGAAUGUGAUCCCAGCUUAGCAACAGAUUAUCCUGUUGGAUAAUCUUCUCCACACCUUUGCUGGAUUUUAGGAACUAAAAAGCUCUGUAUUUUGAGCACACUGUAAAGAUGGUACGAUUUUAUUUUCCAUAGGAGGAAGGCUGUCCAUGAUGGGAGUGGAGACAAGCAAAGCCAUCUCCCCUCAGCUGUAGCAAGCUGCUAUCCUUCUGAAGCUGCUAGAACAUCCUGCACAAAUCCUUAAAUGCCCAUAGUAUCCACCCAGUCAUCUGGGGCAUUCUCCUGAUCCAAGCACACAUUUCUUUCCAGGAACACACCUGGAAGUGUUUCAGGGCAGUCAGUUCCAAGCAGCUUCCUUGAAGCCUGAUGGCAAAUUCAUCUUCAGAUCCCAGAGUCCACAACUCUUCAGGCUCAGGAUAGUGAGACCUCAGGAUGGCAGCCAGGAGAAAACCCAAGCCUGUAUCUUUCCCUGCAAAGGACACGGCCUUCAGCUGCCAGAAUUCCUCACCUUCAGAGAAUGAACAUCCAAACUCAGGCUCCCUGCAGCAACAGUUAUUAAUAGAAAGGAUUAUGGAUAUUAAUCAACUGGGAACAUAAGAACAUGUUCUACAGGAAUAAUAAAAACCAUCAUCAACUCCCCAGGUUCUUGGAUUUAAUGAGAAAUCUGAAGGUAAUCCCAUCUUGUUAAAUAGAGAUUUACAGGAGUAACCACUUACCUGCAAACAGAGCUUCAACCCACAGACUUGCACGUGGCACAGAGCAUCCACCUCCAGAACCCAGCUGCUAUUCUUAAGACACAUCCUUAAGUCCUGCAAGUCUUUGGGGAUUGCUAUCCCACAUACUUACAUAAUCACCCAUUCCAUUUUCUAGCUAAGCCAUCAGCUAAAUACCAGAAUGCAGCUCUCAAAAGGGAAAGCUCAGGAGCAAGUGGGGAUAGAAUCUCUGCAGGGUAAAGAGAGAGAUUCUUUACUUCCAGGUGGGCUUCUGUUUCCUCCCUUUUAAACUGGACUUUCAGACCCCUUUAACUUCAGUCAAGUUCAUUACCAGAUGGUGAGAAAAUUCUGGAAAAUGGCAGAAUGUAAAUGCAAGAUGCUUAUUAGCAAAAGGUCUGCUCAGUAGAAUAGGGAACUGUUUUUCUAAAUUGCAAUUUAGAGUGUAGAAUUUGUAAUAUAUAAAUUUUAAAUAUAUUUUAAAGCUCAUAUUGCAGCACUAAUCUAUAUUACUCAAACAUUCACAUGACGUUAUUACAGAAGACAAAAAUGCCUAAAAAAGUAAACCCAAAUAGUUCCACUUGUACAGUCUCACCAGACAUCACUUUCAGUACUUUUAACAGGGAGCCUAUAUCCUUAGAAAUCUUGGUUUAUUCCUCGUUUAUCUGGAAAUCCCCCCAUUAAAAGUCUUUGUCCAUUCUCGCCAGCUCUAGUCCCAGUGAUUUUGUGGUUUUAUCUGGGUACCUCAAACAGUUUCAAGCAAAACCCACUGUAGCACUGCCAUCUUGUUUCUGAAUUGCAAUUCUGAACAGGACACUCGAGCAGCUUGAGAUGUGCCUAUAACAAUUAGCUCAGACUAAUUUCAUCAGACAAUAAAGCUCCAAGCUAUCAGAUUUAUAUUCUUGAAGUCUCAGUCAGAAAUAAUACUAGACUAAGAAACAGGAAGUGAAUGCUUCCUACAAGAGUUGAUUUUUUUGUUAUUAUCUUAAGACCAUGUUGUUCUCAACAUUGUUUUAGAUUAAUUGCAGAGUUCAAAAUAUUUUCAUGAAGAUUCUCAUGUGUUUUUAUCUAGAAAAUCUGAAGUGAAUGACAGGAAGAACACAGUAGUACAGCUAACUUAAAACACUCCAGACCUUAUCUCUCUUCUCUGCAAGCAAGGAAAGGAGGUUGGAAUGAGGCAAGUGGUGGUCUCUUAUCCAAAUUAGCAAUCAGUAAGACAUAAGGAAAAGGUCUCGAGGCAUGCCAGGGGAGGUUUAGCUUGGAUAUUAGGAAAAAAUUACCCACCAAAAGGGCUGUCAAGCAUUGGAACAGGCUGCCCAGAGAAGGGCUUGAGUCACCAGCCCUGGAGAGGUUUAAAAGAUGUGUACAUGUGGUACUUGGGGACACAGUUUCGUGUGACUUGGCAGUGGCUGGGCUAAUGGUUGAACACAAUCUUAAAGGUCUUUGCCAAGCUAAGGAUUCUCUAAUUCUGUGAGAAAAUACAGAAAGGCAGCCUCCCAUCUCUGUGAUCAGCAAGCAGCAGCAGCAAUCACAUGUUUGACUUUGCUGUUCCCACCAUCCCUGCAGCCAAGGUCGCCAUGAAGACACAGACCUCCAUUUCAGUAUUCUGCAAAUCUCAACAAAAGAAAAACAUUUUAUUUUUUUGUUGACCUCAGCUGACAAAAAGGCUUUUAAGCUCUUGAAAUAAACGUCAAAGCAGAAUGCUGCUGUUACCUUAGAAAGAAGUCAUAUUUGUGAUCAAGUUUCUUUGCAUGAAACUGAUCAAACUGUUUCACUGGCAGCAAUAAACAGAUAUAAAGCAUAGGUUUCUCCUACAGGGAAAAUUUGGAAACAGACACUGUACCUUACUGUCCUCAUCCUCAAACACGGACUGGUGAACAUUACAGGCGAAGAGAGAAUUUGGGAGAUCGUUGAAAUCAAUUAUUUCAUGAAAAUCUUCCUCUGCAAAACAUCUCUUCAGGCCGUGGUCUCCAUUGAUAGAGUAGAGCAGGAA